UACGUAGGUGACAAGCGUUGUCCGGAUUUACGUGGGCGUAAAGAGCGCGCAGGCGGUCGUUCAAGUCGAGUGUGAAAGCCCCCGGCUCAACUGGGGAGGGUCACUCGAUACUGAUCGACUCGAAGGCAGGAGAGGGAAGUGGAAUUCCCGGUGUAGUGGUGAAAUGCGUAGAUAUCGGGAGGAACACCAGUGGCGAAGGCGACUCCUGGCCUGUUCUUGACUGCUGAGG
rnacentral:rRNA from 1 species